rnacentral:rRNA from 1 species
UACGGAGGGUGCAAGCGUUAUCCGGAUUCACUGGGUUUAAAGGGCGCGUAGGCGGCCUUCUAAGUCGAACGUGAAAUCCCCGGGCUCAACCCGGGAACUGCGUCCGAUACUGGAAGGCUUGAAUCCGGGAGAGGGAUGCGGAAUUCCAGGUGUAGCGGUGAAAUGCGCAGAUAUCUGGAGGAACACCCGUGGCUAAGGCGGCUCUCUAGUACGGUACUGACGCUGAGACGCGAAAGCGUGGGGAGCGAACAGG